CGAAAAUAGACUUUGUAGUCACUCGCGACAGAAAUGUCAUUGAUAUGCUGAGUGUACUAUCUGAACGUCUCUUUAUUGUAUGUAAAAAAUAAACUGUGUAUUUCACCUUUUCCGAUCAGAUAGACAGUGUUGUGUGACUGUAACGUUACGACAUGGGUAGCGAAAAGAAACCGACCAUCAUAAUUACAGGAUUUGGGCCAUUUGGAGAACAUUCUGUCAAUGCAAGCUGGGUGGCUGUACAGAAUUUAAAGCGAAGGGAUCUGUUGCCUCAUCUCGAUGUUCACAUUCAGGAAAUUCCUGUAGAUUAUCAGGAAGUCAGCCAAAUUGUACCAAAUUUAUGGAAAGAAAAAAAUCCUCAGAUGCAUUCAAUAGAACCUAGGUAUCUAAUCUAGCCUCUAGGUUAGCAUGAUCUUCAAUGCAGCCCAUUCUGCAUGGCUAGGAUAUAUGGACAUUAACAGUAUUUACCAUUAAUAUGGCCAAGCUUGUGGUCCAUGUUGGGGUCUCCGGGAUGGCAAAUAAAAUCACCGUUGAACAGAGAGGUAAUAAUACUGGCUAUGAGAGGUUGGAUGUCAAAGGUCAAAGACCAAAGAAGAAGUGCUGCAUCAAUGAUGGAGAGGAGUGUAUAUUGUCCGGAAUUGACAUGAGUCAAGUCUGUGAUGAAAUAAACAAGGCGGAGAAUGAAUUGGAGGCCGAGGUGUCACACGAUGCGGGAAGGUACCUGUGUGACUUCUCCUUCUACACCUCCCUGUCGAUUGACAGGUCUCGCUCCGCCUUCAUUCAUGUCCCGCCCCUCGGACAACCCUACAGCGAGGACCAGUUAGGAGACGGUUUGGCCAUAGCUGUGUCUGCCAUGUUGAAGCAGCUAACAGAUCAGAAGUCUUCUUGAUCCACUGUAGCAUCUGAAUCUACAUUGUUUUCUGUGUUUUACCAAAGACUUUGAAGCAAUGCAUAAUAAUUUUUAUCUGUAACAUUUUAUUCCCCAACUACAUCUAUUUUAAGUUUGUAAUAUGUAACAGUAGAUUAAAUUGAUUUCCCUGACUAAGAUUGAAAAUCAAAUUGAAAGAGAACUGUGUCAGACUGUUGCAAACUAAAAUUUCUGCUGUGUAAACAGUGUACAUGUAUUUGAAUUGCAUAUUCCAGAGAAUUUUUCAUCUUACGAAAUUUUGUAAAAAAAGAAGGAAACUUCCCAUUCAAAUC
rnacentral:misc_RNA from 1 species